AUUGCUCUUUAUUUUCCCUGGGAGCUAGCAAUGGAGCUGGAGGGUGUAUUCUCAGAGUUUCUUUGAUCACUGCCUUUAAGUACUUCAAUUCUUCAAGCCCUGCUUCCUCAACAUUUCUUUUUCUGUUAAGAACUUGCCUCACUUCUGCUUGUGCUUUACUCAUCGCUCUUGGAUUUUUUAUCAGUUCUGACAUUGCCCAUUCUACCACUGCAGCUGAUGUAUCAGUCCCAGCAAUAAACACAUCCAGGAUAAUUGCUUUGAGAUUGUUUGUUGUUAAUGGAAAUUCAAGGUCGCCAUAUUCUUGAAGAUUCAACAGAGUAUUAACAAUAUCCUCCACUUCAGCUUCACCCUGAUCACCAUU
rnacentral:misc_RNA from 1 species